CAAAGACAAAGUGGAUCAGUCAAAGUCGACCUAUAAUAAACAUGUGCUAUCUUAUUCUCUGAGGACAGUGCAAGUGAAGCUCGGCUGCGGCUUGGUUGGACUCACCUCUGCACAGAUGAGAAGGGUCUUUUCACGCGUCUGACCGGGUGGCUUUGCUCUGAGAGUUGCUGCAGCUUCAUCCUUUCACGACCCAGACGCCCAGUAAGAGCGGAAGCACGGAAAUGAGGAGGCCGUUAACAGCAAGAAGGCUUUAAUCAAAAGCACAGGCUUCUUUUUUAUUGACCGUUGCACGCACAGGAACAGGCGGUGCUGGGGGUCGGAGAAGGGCGGCUCCGAGUCAUCCAUGGGCAGCACCAGGCGCGUGCCCCGCAUCACCAGCUCGUGAUCCCCGUACGCGAGCUCUCUG